rnacentral:rRNA from 1 species
GAUGAACGCUGGCGGCGUGCCUAAUACAUGCAAGUCGAGCGAACGGACGAGAAGCUUGCUUCUCUGAUGUUAGCGGCGGACGGGUGAGUAACACGUGGAUAACCUACCUAUAAGACUGGGAUAACUUCGGGAAACCGUAGCUAAUACCGGAUAAUAUUUUGAACCGCAUGGUUCAAAAGUGAAAGACGGCCUUGCUGUCACUUAUAGAUGGAUCCGCGCUGCAUUAGCUAGUUGGUAGGGUAACGGCCUACCAAGGCAACGAUGCAUAGACGACCUGAGAGGGGGGUAGGCGACACUGGAGGUGGGACGGGGACCAGGCGCCUGCGGGAGGCAUCAGUAGGGAAUGGUCGGCAGUGGGCGGAAGCCUGACGGAACAGCGGGGCGUGAGAGGUGGAGGUCUUGGGAGCGGGAUACUGUGUUAUGAGGGGUGAACAGAUGUGGAAGGAGCUGUGCACAUCGUGACGGUAACGGGUCAGGAAGCCACGGCUAACUACGUG